UACGUAGGGGCCUAGCGUUGUCCGGAUUUAUUGGGCGUAAAGAGCUCGUAGGCGGUUCGGCAAGUCGGAUGUGAAAUCUCCACGCUUAACGUGGAGGGGCCAUUCGAAACUGCCGUGACUCGAGUCCGGUAGGGGAGUGUGGAAUUCCUGGUGUAGCGGUGGAAUGCGCAGAUAUCAGGAGGAACACCGGUGGCGAAGGCGGAUCUCUGGGCCUUACCUGACGCUCAGGUGCGAAAGCUAGGGGAGCGAACAGG
rnacentral:rRNA from 1 species